rnacentral:rRNA from 1 species
CAGUAGCCGCGGGAAUACGUAGGUGGCAAGCGUUGUCCGGAAUUAUUGGGCGUAAAGGGCUCGCAGGCGGUUUCUUAAGUCUGAUGUGAAAGCCCCCGGCUCAACCGGGGAGGGUCAUUGGAAACUGGGAAACUUGAGUGCAGAAGAGGAGAGUGGAAUUCCACGUGUAGCGGUGAAAUGCGUAGAGAUGUGGAGGAACACCAGUGGCGAAGGCGACUCUCUGGUCUGUAACUGACGCUGAGGAGCGAAAGCAUGGGGAGCGAACAGGAUUAGAUACCCGUGUAGUCCCUGUCUCUUAUAC